rnacentral:lncRNA from 1 species
UUGGCUGGGCAAAGCUCUGUGCUGGGUAAGAGGAGGGUACCCAUGGCCUGGGGCUCAGCAGCCACCCCUCAUGCACAGAUUCACCAGCCAGAGACACAGCAGCUCCUUCCCUGCCGGCAGGGAGCUCUCAUUUAGCACACCGGUCACGCUGACCUUCUCCUCUGCAAAAACACAUUUUCCCAGCGAGGGGAGCUGUGACCGAGACGAGCUGCUCCUCUCCCAGCAGGGAACGAGGUGGGCUCUGUGCAGGAACUCGCACAGAAUGCCCUGCCCCUAAGGACACAGGGAUGCCACCCGAGCUCAGAGCCAGCAGCACCUGCUGGCAGGGUCACUGCUGUCUGCAAUGUCACAUUCUGGCAGAGAAAUCCCAGAUCCCGCCCUCCCUGCUGUGUCCCUGCAUGCUGGAUGCCUGGAGGGGGCGGCCAGAUGCUAGAGGAAAGAGUUACUGGGGUUUUGCACGGCCAAGGCUGUGCUUUCUACAGGAAGCCUUGCACUUACUCACCAGUCACAUGGGGCUGUGCAGGAGGAAGGGUAAGUCCCAGGAGCUGGGCAAGUUCCCACAGGGACACUCAGUGACAGCCCAAACGCGCUCUGGUUUGAGUGCAGGACAGCCAGAGCCCGGGCCCUCUGCUCAGCAGGUGAGAUCCUGCAGUGCUGCUUUUGUGUUGAACACCCAAACCUGUCCUUUAGCACCUCACAGGAGAAUUUUAACUCAAUGUUUUACAUUUCCUGGUAUGGUGCUUGUGCUCAGGGCAACUCUCUGCUCUGAAAGAUCCAUAUUUUACCCAGGAAAGAGCCACGAUUUACCCAGGAAAGAGCUGGGUUUCAGCAGCACAGGGUGUUCCUUCGUGCCAGGGGAGGGUUGUAGAUUUGUGAGGCACACGGAGCACACAGCUCAUACACAUCAGAGGAGGGGGAGCACAGCCCAGGAGCUGCUCCUCCCUGCCCUCAGGCACCCUCCACCACCACUUUCUGCCCCUCCAUGCACUCCAGGAUGUGCUGGGCACUGAGCAGGUGCCAGCUGCUCUGCAUGGACUUGCAGCAGAGCAGCUGUGGUGGAA